rnacentral:rRNA from 1 species
UACAGAGGGUGCAAGCGUUGUUCGGAAUUACUGGGCGUAAAGGGUCUGUAGGUGGCCAACUAAGUCAGACGUGAAAUCCCUCAGCUUAACUGGGGAACUGCGUCUGAUACUGGAUGGCUUGAGUGUGGGAGAGGAAUGCGGAAUUCCAGGUGUAGCGGUGAAAUGCGUAGAUAUCUGCAGGAACACCCGUGGCGAAAGCGGCGAGCUGGAUCACUACUGACGCUGAAGAACGAAAGCUAGGGGAGCAAACAGG